AAAAAACAAUAAUUUUUAAUUUAUUAUUUCUUUAAAGCUAACACGACAUCAUCGUUUGUUACUAAUUUAUAAAAAUAAAAGUCAUGACCUAGAUUCUACGAUCUGUCAUUUAUCCGUUAUACAAGUUGUGGCACCUUAGCCACUGUCCUUGAUUUUUCUUUUUUUUUUAUUUAACUUUCUAAUAAAACGACGUGUAUCGUAUCAUGUCGUCGUAGUCGACGUGUUCUCGUAUGAAAACUUGGAUUGUUUUCAAUUUUGUAUUUUGUUUAAAAUGUUCAAAUAUUCUAAACAAAAACACACACAUUUUAAAAUUGGGUAUUUUGUUUGAGUCACUUUAUAAAUAUCAAAUAUAAAAAUUAUUAUCUUUUUACUUUCUUAAUUACUUAAGUGACAGCUCAUGUUGAUCAAUAAUAUCAUGUCAUUGGAAUUCCCUUUUAUCAUUUUGACAUUAGACAUAGACAACUCACAUCACCUGAUGUCUGUGUUUCCAGAUUUUGGGAAAUCCUCUUAUUUGACAGACAAAACAGCUGUUAUAAGAAUUUGUAUCAAUAAAUUCCAUUAAAAAUGUUAGAAAUAUUUAUUUUUGUUUUUUCUGUACUACAAUUAAAUUUAAUUAGUUUGUCAUUUUGAAUUAGCUUGUUAUUCAAUGGACGUGUAUUUUGCGUCGUAGUAAAAAGGUGUUUUGUUUUCUUAUUUUUUAAUUUAUUCAUUAUUUUUUUCUUUGUCCUACAGACAUACUUGAUAAUUUAUAUAAAUAUUUUUAAAUAACUUUUUAUUUUUCAUUUUGUUUUAUUUGGGAACGCAUUCUGUUAAUCUUUGAAGAGUUCCUCCAUCUGCCAUCGAAUAUUUUGCUAAAAAUAAAAACAAAAUAAAAUAUAUAUCACGAUCAUUAAGUAAAAUUUUUACAAAGACAGAGCGUUUUUCAAAAACAAAUUUAUAACACGCGUGAUUUUCGGGAAAUACGUGGGGUUUCGCGCAAAUCCUUAUUUUUAUUUUAUUUAAUGAUGCUUAUAUUUUCGUAAUCAAAUUAAACGAACGUGUGAACAUUCAAAAAGGAAAACAUUUUAUUUUUGUCUAGUCAAGAGAAAUUUGUAUAAUAAUUAUUGUUUUUGUAAAGACUUUGACGUAAACGUCAUUCUUCAUAAUGAGUUUGUUUCAUAUUCCAAGCAUGUUUAUGUAUAAAAUUAUUUUAUUAAUAAUUAUAACGUACGCUGUCAAUUUCCGGUCAAACGUCAUGGGGGACUGGGAUUGACGUGUGCUUUCUUCGUGCAAUAAAUUGAUUUAUAAAUUGA